ACUCCGUCUCAAAAAAAAGAAAAAAUAACUCCAGGGCACUGCGCCCUUACUUCCUAUCUAACAUUGUGCCGAACGUUAUAGAUAGAUAACAUAGAUCCUCCUCCGUAUGAUCCUUAGUUCAGGAUCAUAAACUCUUGAUAAAUUACUGCCCCAGGAACCUCCAGUGACAUCAACCGCUGCUAUCAUUUGUGGAAUUCCGCCGGCCAGACACCCCACACUGCAUUCCCUCACAACUGAUCCUCCCGAUAGCCCAUGGGGUAGACACUGUUACUUCCAUUCACAGAUAAGCAAAGUGAGGCUCGGAGGGAGGGGACUUGCCCAAAGCCACAAGGAUGAAAGGACUUUUCCAGUUGCUACCAGACUACGCACUGUCGCCUGAUGGUUAAGAACUGAAGCUUUAGCCGUGCGCGGUGGCUCACGCCUGUAAUCCCAGCACUUUAGGAGGCAGAGGCGGGCGGAUCACCUGAGGUCACAGGAGUUCGAGACCAGCUUGACCAACAAGCUGGCGUAUCCGAAUGGGCUGAGCUACCGGAUUAAGAGGGACACCCCAAAGCCCCCAUUGCUGGGUUAUUGCUCCAGAGCCAAUGUCCUUAGGGAAACGAAGAUACGCCCUUUGUCUACACUGCCACUGCUGGUCUGUAAACUCCUAGACGGCCAGCUGGUGGUUCACAAACCAGGACUCCUUGCUCUGGCCCUACUCCUACCUACCAGAAUGACCGUGAACACUUCCCCACUCACUCCUACAACCAGGUUUCCAUCUUCUCUCUCAGCUUAGGUUUCCCUAAUUGUAAAAUAAAAGGGUUGGACUAGGUUAAGGACUUCCAGCUGUUUCUCUCUCCCACACUCUAAGGUUCCUUAGGAAUGCUUCAGAAGACAGCAGGGGUUGGGGCAAGGACGCCACCUGAGUCCCAGAGCAACUCCAAUUUCAUAGGUACAUAAAUUUAUGUGAAAGUA